GUCCCGGUCGCGAAAUGGAUACCGCGUUAGACUUCUAAUCUGAAAGUCAUGGGUAUGAAUUUCCCCUGGGACA